UACGAAGGGGGCUAGCGUUGUUCGGAAUCACUGGGCGUAAAGCGCACGUAGGCGGAUCUUUAAGUCAGGGGUGAAAUCCUGGAGCUCAACUCCAGAACUGCCUUUGAUACUGAAGAUCUUGAGUUCGGGAGAGGUGAGUGGAACUGCGAGUGUAGAGGUGAAAUUCGUAGAUAUUCGCAAGAACACCAGUGGCGAAGGCGGCUCACUGGCCCGAUACUGACGCUGAGGAGCGAAAGCCAGGGGAGCAAACGGG
rnacentral:rRNA from 1 species